rnacentral:lncRNA from 1 species
CUUGAAUUUGUUUAAUUUUGAUUUGACUUUGUUCUUUAAAUAUUCAUUAAACAAAAAUGUUUUCAGUGUGUGUAUUCUGAAAUGAAUAUUCUGGAUGGGCACUUAAAGUCUUACAAUCACCAUGGAUGCCCUUACUGCUUUUUCACUCCCAAAAUUGAACUCAAUUUGGUGUUUAAUUUUACAUGUUCAUCCUCAUUGUAUUUGAUUAUGUUCUGGUCCUGGGUCUCCUAUAAUGCCUUUGAAUAUUUUUGUGUAAAUUUCAAUUUAUAGAGAGAAAAUUAAUGUUUGUUAGUGUUAGUCAUCUUUCCAUCACUGUGACAAAAUACCUGAGGAAAAAAAUUUAAAGCAGGAAAGAUUUAUCUUGGCUUACAAUUUCAGAGGUUUUAGUCUAUAUUCACUUGGUACUUUUGUUUCUGGGCUUGCGGUGAGGCAAAAUAUCAUGACAGGUGUAGUUGCUCACCUCAUAGUUGCCAGGAAGGAGAGAAACAGAGGAAGGAGUCAGAGAACUAGAUAUACCCUUGUAGUACACGCCCCCAGUGGUCUGCUUCCUCCAACUAGGCCCCACCUCCUAUAGUUUCCACCACCUCACAAUAUUCCAUUCAAAUAUGAACCCAUCAGUUGAUUAAUCCAUGGAUAAGAUAAGAACCCUCAUGAUCCAAUCAUUUCCCAAAAAUCUCACUUCUGAAUAUUGUUGCUUUGGGGACCAAGCCUUCAAUCCAUAAGCAUUUAGGGGACAUUCCAGAUCCAAACCCUAACAUCAUUUGAGUGCUUUUUUCCACAUUAUAAUUUCUUGUGUGAAUUAGUUUUCUUUUAAAAAAUUCUGGUGUUGCUCCUGCUCCAUAAACAUCCUUUUGAAAGCACAUGUUUUGGGAUAAUUUUGAUUUGUAAAUGCAGAACUUAAUUAGUUGACUUAGUUCUUGAUAGUAUACAACAGGGACUGUUCUUAACCAUCUGUCAUCUGCAGUCAUUAUACUGUGGGAUUAUAUUUUGCAGAAGAAUUGUGUAUUUGGUAUAAUUUUAUUCAAUUAAAUGUGAUCCUGGCCCUUUUAGAUAAAACAAUACUUUCUUUAGUUACAUACUGAAGAUAAUAAAAACAUUUUCUAUAUAAACUUAUGAGCUUUCUGAAAUAAAAAUAAAACUAUUACUGCAAUAUGAUCCCACUAUUCCACUACUGGGCACACAUUGAAGUAAAUGCAAUGAGCAUGUUUAAGAGAUUCUUGCUCUCCCGUGUUUUGCAGCCAAGAUAUGGAAUCAGCAUUAGUGUCCAUCAGCACAGGUGAAUAAAGAAAACAUGUAUGUAUACACAACUCAAUACUUCUUGGGAACAGAGAGAAAGAAAUCCUGUCAUUGACAUAACAUGUAUGAAUCUGGAGAACAUUAUAUUAAUUGAAAUACACCAGGCAGGAAAAGAUAAAUACCACAUGAUCUCCCUCAUUUGGGGAAUUUUUAAAAAGUUGAACUAAUAGGAAAAGACAGAGCAGUAGUUACCAGUGGUGGGGGCCAUUAGGAGGUAGUGAGGAGAAGUAUUUGUGAAAGGGUAUUCCAUUUAGAUUAGAGCAGUAUGCGGUAGGGACCUACUAUAUACCACAGUGACUAAAGUAGUGAUCAUAUAUUCUAUUGUUGAAAAUUUUUGAGCUAAUGUUGUGUAUUCUCACUAAAAAUGAUAAAUAAGCUGGGCGCAGUGGUGCUUGCCUGUAAUCCCAGCAGCUCAGGAAGCUGAGGCAGGAGGAUCGUGAGUUCAAAGCCAGCCUCAGUAACACCAAGGCACUAAACAACUCAGUGAGACUCUAUCUCUAAAUAAAAUACAAAAUAGGGCUGGCAUGGUCGAGUGGCCCUGAGUUUAAUCCUUAGUACUCCCCCCAAAAAGAUAAAUAAUGUGGUAAUGCACAUGUUAAUUGUUUAGUUUUAAACAAUGUAUAAUGAAAAAUACUUGUGAACAUUGUAUUGUACACAGUGUGUGUAAAAUUUAAUCUGACAAUUUAAAUAAAUAAAUUGACAACUUAUAAAAAUAAAAAACUUAAAGAUAAAGCUA